UGCUGUCGAGGUCGUCCGGACCGGCGACGGUCGCGUGCUGGGCGACGACGAGCCCGGCGCGUUCGACCGCGUGAUGGUGG
rnacentral:tRNA from 1 species